rnacentral:pre_miRNA from 1 species
UUAACUCAAAUUUGUAGGGAGUUGGAACGUUUGCCUAUGUUUGCCGCUAGGGGCGCUGUUCCAAGUCCAUACAAAUUUCAGGUA